AUUGAACGCUAGCGGGAUGCUUUACACAUGCAAGUCGAACGAGUGGCGGACGGGUGAGUAAUAUCUCGGAACGUGCCAAGUAGAGGGGGAUAACUACUAGAAAGAGUGGCUAAUACCGCAUACUAAUGGAGCGGCCGAUAUCGGAUUAGCUAGUUGGUGGGGUAAAGGCUCACCAAGGCAACGAUCCGUAGCCUGUUUGAGAGGACGACCAUCCACACUGGGACUGGGACACGGCCCAGACUCGUACGUGAGGCAGCAGUGGGGAAUUUUGGACAAUGGGGGACACCCUGAUCCAGCCAUCCCGCGUGUAUGAGAAGGCCUUCGGGUUGUAAAGUACUUUUGGCAGAGAAGCGGUAUCUGCAGAAUAAGCACCGGCUAACUACGUGCCAGCCGCCGCGGUAAUAC
rnacentral:rRNA from 1 species